AGGUGGAUUCCAUUCUGUUCAGUGAGUUUAAGGUGUGGAAGGAGGAACCCACACUGGAGAGGAGUUGCUGUUUCUUGGAAUGAAUCUACAGAGAGGACAUUUACCCGUGUCUCACAUUCUGCAAGAGUGAGAUCACCUCCAUCUGCAACUUCUUCACCUACAUUCACUACAUCCACCAAGGACUGGUCAAGCAGCAGGAUGCUGAACAGAUGUUCUGGGAGGUCAUGCAGCUGUGUAAGGAGAUGUCCUGUGCUAAACUGGACUACUACAGAGAUGAACUGUGAACACUGAGCAAGGAGACCGUGUGUGAAAGAAACAUGCUCAGUGCAGGAGAGGGGGGUUCUGCAGUUCACCAAGACACAUCACAGGGACCAGGUCUUUCCUCACACCUCAACACUCCAGCACUGUGUGUGUGUGUGUGUGUGUGUACUGAGAUGAAAUCACUGAAAAGGGAAGAAAAAGGUGUUGGUCUACUGAUCAGAAGGUUGUGAGUUUGAAUCCCAGCUCCACCAAGCUGCCACUGCUGGGCCCCUGAGCAAGGCCCUCAACCCUCAAUUACUCAGCUGUAUAAAAUGAGAUAAAAUGUAAGUCACUGUGGAUAAGGACGUCUGCCAAAUGCCAGAAACGUAAAUGUAAAUGUCUGAUAGCUGCCUCUUGUCUCCUCAGUUCUGGUCAAACCCAUUAAAGUGUCACACUUAUUCAUAACACAUGUCACUAAGACCUAUUAUAAACAUAUUCUGUCUAAUUUAACUCGUACACCUGAAUGAAAUAAAACCUCAUAAACCUUCUGAUACUAAUUAUACUAUUUUCCUUCCACCAUCAUCGUCCUGACUCCUGCCCCUGAGGCUGACCAGUGUGUCUGUACACCAGGGGAUAGUGGAUAGUAAAACUCCUUUAUCUUCUACAUAUCUGUCUAUUGGGUUUUUUAAUAAAUGUUGGACUUUUUUAAAUGUUCUACUGCAGUUGUUGUGUCUGUUAUCCAGUGUGACAGUGCUGUUAAAGAUUCAUUUCAUUUUGUCCAACUUACAAAUCGACUUUUUGUAUUUUUGAAGGAAAAAAAGAUAAUCUCAGGUUCAUUGUGAGAGAAGUUCACACUCUGUAGCCACUGCUGAAUAUGGUUCCUGUAUUUAUGUCUGGUGUAAAUGGAGUACACAGAUAUAUAUUUUUCACAGACCAGUAGUGUCUCAGGUGCCUGAUGCCACUGAUUUAUAAUUCAGUAAUUCAGCAGAAAUUUGUUGCCAAAUCAGUUCACCGUCAGUCCACUUUGUGUUCGGAAGUCAGGGAAUUCAAGUGAAGUUUCCUUUCCCUUUGGGCUCAAGACACUUCAGUUCAUUUUUUAAGAAACUCUGAGUUUUAGCUGUGCUCCAGUGUG